rnacentral:rRNA from 1 species
UAACAAGGAUUCCCCUAGUAGCGGCGAGCGAAGCGGGAAGAGCUCAAAUUUAUAAUCUGGCACCUUCGGUGUCCGAGUUGUAAUCUCUAGAAAUGUUUUCCGCGUUGGACCGCACACAAGUCUGUUGGAAUACAGCGGCAUAGUGGUGAGACCCCCGUAUAUGGUGCGGACGCCCAGCGCUUUGUGAUACAUUUUCGAAGAGUCGAGUUGUUUGGGAAUGCAGCUCAAAUUGGGUGGUAAAUUCCAUCUAAAGCUAAAUAUUGGCGAGAGACCGAUAGCGAACAAGUACCGUGAGGGAAAGAUGAAAAGCACUUUGGAAAGAGAGUUAACAGUACGUGAAAUUGUUGGAAGGGAAACGCUUGAAGUCAGACUUGCUUGCCGAGCAAUCGGUUUGCAGGCCAGCAUCAGUUUUCCGGGAUGGAUAAUGGUAGAGAGAAGGUAGCAGUUUCGGCUGUGUUAUAGCUCUCUGCUGGAUACAUCUUGGGGGACUGAGGAACGCAGUGUGCCUUUGGCGGGGGUUUCGACCUCUUCACACUUAGGAUGCUGGUGGAAUGGCUUAAAC